rnacentral:misc_RNA from 1 species
GAUGCAGGAACAACAGCAGAUGUUUCUACAGAUGCAGUAGGAAUUUGCUGGAAUGGUUGAACUUGGUGUACUGGGAAAUUAGAAAGUUGAUUUUGUUCCUGAUAUUGCAUCUUUGGUUCUGCAUCAGCAAUGCUAGUAUCAACCAUCCAGCUAGAAGUCAAAGCAUCAUCAUCACUCAUUACAAGGUCAGCCCAUUCCGGCCAAUCACUUUGUUUACUAGGAUCCUCAGGUGGGAUCUGACAAUCAUCUGAAUUUCUACAAUCAAGCUGAGUGUUCUGGACAGGGGCAUUUACCGAGUAAUCAAGGUAAUCAGGCAAUAACUCUGUACACCAGGAUUCACUAUUUACAUUAACAUACUGGCUUGAUGCAGCACCUUGAAGAACUCCAGAAUUAGCUAAUGGAAUUGAUGCCUCAUUAAUUGUUGGCUGAGAAAUGAAAGUUGCAGGUGCCAAAUGCUCAUCAUAAGGCAGAACAGAUGAAAAGUCAAGAUUGGUCGAGAACUCCGAUGGUGAGGAAAACAAAUGACCGACAGCCCCACUGUUUGAAGGAAACGAAGAAAG